GGUCAGGUUCACGUGUAGUGGUGAUAAGAGGAACUGCACCACCACUAUAACUAGAAAGUGUAUUAAUCAAUGUAGUUUUGCUUCUGCAAUGGACAGCUGUAGAUUCUUCCUAUGGAAGCCUCUGUAGGACUUGUUCCUAUUUUUGCUUUCGGGGGACACUGCGAUUGCUUGCGAAAAAUUCUAUCAUGCUUUAGAAAUCGCACCACACGUCUCAAAACUGCAAUAAAGCCAAGACAUGUUAGUGCAGCCUAGCACACGUGUCUGUCCUGGACUUUCUAAAAAUUAAAAUAUGAUGUGUGAUUGCAAAUUAUGGCACAUCAAAUAGAUGUGAGCACAGAAAACCCAUUGAUUAUAGGUUCCUAGCACAAAAUUAGUAAAUUGUAUGGAAGAUUUAUUCUGUAUGGUGCACAACAUUUUUUGGCCUGAAGACCAUGUUGGACUGCAUCACUGAAAGGGCCCCAAUAAUAUUAGCCCUAUGGUGGAUUUACAUGGGACGAUUCUGCAGCCGAUUGUCGGGAAGGAAGCUUUCCUUCCUGACAGUCGGCUGCUCACUCAUUUAAAGAGACUGCUGCAUUUACGUGUAGCAAUCUCCUUCACUUGCAAUAGCGAUCCCUCGUCCCCAUGCAGAAUCCUGGUC